AUGCCUAUGAAGAUUUUGUUGCUGCAGCAGCAACUUUUCUUGAAGCCAAAGAAACUUCCAGUGCCCCUAAAAACCCAGCAACAGAAACAGCCCUUCAGAGCUUUAAGCAAAAACGAGGGUAAAUUGAGAAACCAGGAGAAAUCUAUACUGAUAUUUGAACAUUCAGACUCCAAUUAUAGUUGCACAUUACACAGAAAAAGAUCCAUUGUGGCUGUAUCGCUUGUUUGA